UACGUAGGGACCGAGCGUUGUCCGGAAUCACUGGGCGUAAAGAGCGUGUAGGCGGCCAGGUAGGUCGGUUGUGAAAACUGGAGGCUCAACCUUCAGAGGUCGACCGAAACCAUCUGGCUAGAGUCCGGGAGAGGAGAGUGGAAUUCCUGGUGUAGCGGUGAAAUGCGCAGAUAUCAGGAAGAACACCCGUGGCGAAGAGCGCUCUCGUGAACGGUACUGACGCUGAGACGCGAAAGCGUGGGGAGCGAACAGG
rnacentral:rRNA from 1 species